AAACCAGAAAAAGAAAUAAAGAGGAAUUUAGAGAGUACGAGACGUACCCUUGGCUAUCAAUUUUGUAUGCGCGUGUAUUCGUGCAAUUUUAUGUGAUCGAUCCUGAAGGCGGAUUUCCAACACAGGAUUCAUAACCGGUGUGGAAAAAUUGGUCAGGGAAGGCAGCGGCUCGACUCCCUACAUCGUGCGGGCGAAAGCAGCAGAAAACGACGACGUUGGAAAAGAACCACUGACGGGCACCUGCGCUGACAUGGAUGCCCUGCAUGUUGAGAUAAAUUCUAUAGUGGAAAUGAAUCACUUAGGUAUUGAGAAACAGUAUAAUGAAGCUACCUAUGAGCCCUCUCAGCGAUUAGAGGUCGUCAGCCAUCGAUCAUAUUUACGGACGGACAGAUCUUCCUGUCUCUACCCAGCGCAGAAUUAGUUCGGUCAUCCCGCAACACAGUCUCGCGGGCCGCUGCUCCGGGGAUUGAGCUACGGUCCCGGGCCUAAGAUAGAAGGCCCAGGUCCAGACCAACACAGAAGCGCGUCGCCCAGGUUUUCCGUCGGCAGCGCUAUCCCUAUCCACGAGCUGCUCGAUUAGAGGUCGUCAGCCAUCGAUCAUAUUUACGGACGGACAGAUCUUCCUGUCUCUACCCAGCGCAGAAUUAGUUCGGUCGUCCCGCAACACAGUCUCGCGGGCCGCUGCUCCGGGGAUUGAGCUACGGUCUCCGUCCGUAACCGGGCCUAAGAUAGAAGGCCCAGGUCCAGACCAACACAGGAGCGCGUCGCCCAGGUUUUCCGUCGGCAGCGCUAUCACUAUCCACGAGCUGCUCCUCUUCUUCGUUCAGUUUUAAAAAAAGGCUGCUUCUCUGUUCCUCGACGCUGCGCCGCCGCUGUCCUCCGUCCUGACGGCGAGCUUCUACAGCAGGGAUCAUGAUGGCAGAGACGACGGGCGGCAGAGCAAUGUCGACUGUGGCGGUGGGUGAUGAGCAGUAGUUGUACGCGGUGGCAGCGUCAACAGCUUCAUGGUGCGAAGGAGGAGCACCUGAUCCAAUCCUCGCUACCUUUAUUGUUCUGUCUAAAGAUUUGUUAUCCAAUAGCACGCUCCAAGUUAUCUUCCAAGAGAUGUCAGCAAUCCCCAAAUUAUCUGUGUAUUCCAGAUCAACGGUGCGGCAGCAGGCCAGGCGCCACGGCGGUCGGAUGACAAGAGCAAGCCAACCAAGGUGAUGAACAGUGCGACGAAGGCGGCGGCGUCGCCUGCUGUCGAGUAUACUGGCAUGGCCAUAGAGCUCGAUAAAAUGAUCCAAGAUGACCAGAAGGUCCAGGGUGCAGGACAACUAGAAGGUCAAGGGCACAGAUGAUGCCUGCCAUCUCCGGCAACAUGAUGGUGCACAACAACCUAGGCAACCUCAACGUUUGCGCGUCGGCCAGCAGCUCGCUGGAUUGCAACACCAAGACGGCGACCGUAGGUCUCUUUUACUCCGUGUAUUUUCUGUUUUGCAUAAUCUAUCCAUGCAGGGACGGACCCAGAACAAAAAUGUCCCGGUGUCCACAUGUACACUAUACGUAGAUGGAUAAGAAGCAAUAAUAUACAUAAAAGUAAUACACUCAACAAUUUUAAAAUAUUCAACUGUAAGAAUUCUUAUCAAAAUAAACCAUUUCACUUGAAAAACUAGUUGAUUAUGUAAAGUUGAAUAAUAUAUAGAGUUUAAUAACACGAAACGACAAAACAAAUAUGAUCAGCGACGUCUGCAUAAGUCAAUAGAAACAUGUUACAUCAUUUGUGUUUACAGAUGCAUGAAUAGAAACAAGAAAUAAAUCAUAUUGAUAAAAGCAUACAGUUACGAGGUUAAACUUACUACAUUUUAUCUUAAAUUGUCAUUGGGCGCAGUCAACAAAUUCCAAAUUGAUGUGAAUUAGUAGGGAAAAUUAUGAAAUCGUAGUAAUCCAAUUCCCAAUUAUAAUAUAUUUAAUCUUGAAACCCUAACCAUACAAUUUAUAGACAUAAAAAAAUUAGACAAAACUAAAGAUAAGUACACGUACUUGAGCGAGAUCGACGACCGUACCUAUUUCCUUCUAUUAUUUCUUGUCUGCAAAGGGUGAGGGCCACAACAGGCUGCCGGCGGCAGGAUCUGGCUUCCGGAGCACUAGAACCGGCGGCGGAUGCCAUCACACCGUAUCGCUAUGGAGGGGAAAAGGAACAGCCGAACAUACGCACGUAGGUACCCACUACAACAAAAUAUGCAUGUAGAGACGUCAGAUUUGUAAGCUAGAGACACGUUAUUUCAUCUCAAAUGGAAUGUAGAGCCACUUUUGUAAAGCGUCCUUGGAGCGUCUCCUCACGAACCGUGUCAAGUGACAUUGAGACGUUUGCAAAGCGUGUCUAUAGGAAAUGAGACGCUUUAUAGGGACGUUCAAUUCAUGUCUAUGUUAGUAGAGACGUCUUAGUAGACACACCUUACACCACGUCUCUACUAAUAUCGAGACGUUCUGUAGGGAUGUUAUAAACGUGUCUAGAUGCAGAAAAUGUCAUUUUUGUACUCCCAUUUGCAUUUCAAAUUUGAUUGAAAAAUGUAAUUCGAGUCUUGUUAAUGCACACACACAUGGUC